rnacentral:lncRNA from 1 species
CCUUGUGCUUGCACAGGUGUUUGGGUGGUCAUAUGGUAAAUUAAGUUUUUUUUUUUCUUUUUUUUCUUUUCUUUUUUUUUUUUUUUUCAGAUCCUGUUUGCCCCACACAAAUGUAAUGUGCACAGUAGCACUAAGUACAAUGAAGGUGUGAAUGAGCAGCCAGGAGCAGAGAUGGCCUAAGAUGACUUAAGCAGAACUACUGCUGAAGAUGUAACCACAGGCUCAAAGUUCAUGCUACUUCUGGUAACUGUCUUGGAUGGCUCAGAGAUAGGACUGCUGCUAGACAGGAGUACUAUUGGAAGGCCUUGGAACAGACCCCCCACUCAAGGGUUAAAAGAUGGCUAUUACUAAAAUCCAAAACAUUUAUUCUUUCCUUGCUCAUCUUCUCUUCUCAGAUGUCAUCAUAUGAAUGCAAUAUGACACAUCAAAAAACCCCAACA